UGAAUUUAAUUUUUUAAUCUUGUGAAUAAAAUUGUGUAUUCUAUAUAUAAAUGCAUCCCAUAAAGUUUUCAUGAUUAACUAUGAAAAGAACGAAUUUUUUGUUCAACAUACGAGUAACCUUUAGCGAGCAAUAUAAAUAAUCGAUUUUAUUUCAACGCAAAAUCAUUUGCAACGUUUGGUAUUAUAAAAAAGUAUUGUAUAUAUAGUUUAUCAGUUUCUAUUUUGGUAUGCAGUUAAAAAUUUACAUAUUGUUUUUCCAAUAUUUCAUAUUUGGUAAUGAAUUCCGAUAUUUAAAAGCGAAGGCAAUAGUCGGUCAUAACGUUAGAACAGCAGAGGAAAAUGAAUUUCCAUCAGUCGUAUGUAUCUUCAAAUAUGAUCCUGAUGAAACCUGGGAAAAUAAUCUAUUGUGUACUGGAACGCUUAUUUCAUCAAAUCAUAUUUUGACGGUUCAACACUGUCUGGAUAUGGCCAACACUGUAAAAAUUGAAGUGAAUAUUGGCGGACAUCACGUGCACGAUGCUGUUAGAUAUUAUCCGAUAUGGUGGAUGUCCUAUAAUCAGUG